GGGCAGGUUGGGCAGGUGGUGAGCCCAGCUGACUGUAAAUCAGCCGCCAACGGCUGUAGAGGUUCGAUUCCUCUCCUGCCCACCA
rnacentral:tRNA from 1 species